ensembl:lncRNA
ACUAGAUCUUUCCUGAGGGAAGAAAGUAAUUUAAAGAUUAAGAGACUUGACAGGGUUACAGUGGAACCUAAUCUGUAAUAUUCUCGUGUAUAGGCUUCUAAAAAGUCUAUUCCAUAGAAAAAAUAAAAUAACACUGAAAUGUUAAAGAUGAAAGCUCCUACCAUCGAAAACUGAGGCAAGAAACACCAGCCUUAGAUCAACUGAUUUAAUUCAUAAAACCCUGCGGAAGUCAUUUUAAGACUCCCACCCACUAAAACUUAAAAGUAGCCCAGUUGAAGACAAGUGACCAUAAAGAGCACUCAGGGUCUCUGGGAAAGGACAUUCUCCCCAUGAUGACCCUUGAGAAACCAGGGUUCUCAAUCUCCAAAGAGGCUCCACAUUAAAUGUAACCUGAAGCACUAGAUGUUUAGAUUUUGAUUAAAUCCUCAAAAAUCUCCAUUUUGCAGAUGAAAAAAUGGUACAUCAAGAGGUUAUAUAAAUGCACAUGGCAGCAUGAAUGCCACAAUGUUAUAAAACACUAAUAGUCUUUCUCAUUUACUUUGAAGCCAAUUUACCUAAUCUGGAAACCCAUAGUCAAUAAUGUUUCUCGGGUGGAAGAAUGGAGGGUUGGAAAGAGGAAGAUAAAGGUAUGGAUGAAUGCAGAAAUAGGCACGUGUUUCCUUAAAACCUGAGGGCUCUUAGGUAACGCAGUUUUGCUAAACCCGGGUUGAUAGCCCUGUGAUUCAGUUCCCAUGUGGACUAGCUAGCAGUUCCCUGGUCGAUGGCCACAGAUUGUAUUCCUAAACUUUGACUGUUUUACAGAGAAGUUCUCCUGUUCAUAAAGUUUAUGUGAUGGGAGUGUGUUUGAUGAGAGAGAGAGACCAUCAUUAUUGCUAGAAGACCCGCAAGUUGAGCCCAUAUGAACUAAUUAAAAGCAUCAACCUCCCAGCUUUCAGCAACACUGCAGCCUGGAAUACUUCUACAAGGAAGAGGAAGAGCCCAGGGAAAACUCAGGAGAAACUUCUACCUCCUUCAAGUAACUGAAGGGCUGUCAAGUGCAAGAACAACCAGACUCUUGGACAUAGGCUUUAUCCUGCAUGACGGUAUCUAUUGCACAAAUCAUUCAACAGGUAUAAGUCAGAGGGGGCCUUGUGAAGAACUGUGCUGUGUGUGUGGCAUGGUCCAAGAGGAUUGAGAUGCUUUUGGAACCAGUCAGCUCCUAACGAUCUGAUUUCAUGACCUGAACUCGGUAUCAAUGAUUGUGUGGUAGAAAGGGAUGCACUCAUCCCAGGCCCAAGUGGUGACCAAGAGCUAGAAACCUCCCUGCACCACCACAGGGAGACUGAGUCGACUUUGGGGAAAAUGGCUGUGAGUCUGGACUGUCACCUGGGGCUCAGGCCAUUUUGCCAGAGCACACCUAGGAUGCUCUGCCAGUGCUCAUGGGAUCAGAUGGGGCCAGUUGAAAUCAUCUCCCUUUUGCCUGGUAAGGAGUGAAACCUCCUCAUCUCCGCACCCUCCACCCCCACUCAAUGAGGAGGAGAUUAUACAAGGUAGAGGUCCACUGGGGGUCAUUCUCAGGAUUCUGUCUGUCAUUGGGUGACUGGAGUUAAAAUAGUCCAUUGUUACUGUGAUGGCUGGAGAAGGCUCAAAUGACAACUGACUUUAGACCCCUGCUUCCCUUCUUGGCUACCUAUACUUUCUCUGCUCCUGACCCAUGAGGAAAGCCCUUUCCUACAUAAUGAAACACUCUCUAGGUAUAAGCCAGUAGAGAUUCCCUGAGUUACUAGUCCUAAAACCAUUCCUCUCCUCCCUAGCUUCACUCUGGAAUCUCUGCUGUAGGACUCAGUCCUAUGUCAGAUUCAGAGCUGAUCCAAGUCAAACUCAUAUGAAUCUAAUCAUCCCAACUCAACAUUCUUUGUCUUCUUAAAUCUUCAUCCCUUAAGUUUUUUUUCUUUUCUUAGUUUGCUUUUCUGCAGGAUCAUUUAAGUCUUGGAAUAAUUAAAUAUAGCUAUAUCUAUAUAUAACAUAUUUAGAAGAUUUCUCUUGGGUCCAAAAAAAAGAAAGCACCAUAUAUUGGAUUAUAGUGGUUACUCUCAAGCCGUUUAAUUCCCUCAGUGUGUAUCCAGGGAAGGGAAACUAACGGUAAAGUUUAAUGAACCACAAUUUUGGGAAAUAAAUCAUGAAUAUAAAUAUUGUGCA